CCCGCACAAGCGGUGGAGCAUGUGGUUUAAUUCGAUGCAACGCGAAGAACCUUACCUGGGCUUGACAUCCCGAGAAUCCCCUGGAAACAGGGGAGUGCCUUUCGGGGAACUCGGAGACAGGUGCUGCAUGGCUGUCGUCAGCUCGUGUCGUGAGAUGUUGGGUUAAGUCCCGCAACGGGCGCAACCCUUGUCUUUAAUUGCCAGCAUUCAGUUGGGCACUUUAAAGAGACUGCCGGUGUUAAGCCGGAGGAAGGUGGGGAUGACGUCAAGUCCUCAUGGCCUUUAUGCCCAGGGCUACACACGUGCUACAAUGGGUGGUACAAAGAGAUGCCAACUCGCGAGAGCGCGCCAAUCUCAGAAAGCCAUCCUCAGUUCGGAUUGGAGUCUGCAACUCGACUCCAUGAAGUUGGAAUCGCUAGUAAUCGCGGAUCAGCACGCCGCGGUGAAUACGUUCCCGGGCCUU
rnacentral:rRNA from 1 species